GUGCUCACUUCGGCAGCACAUAUACUAAAAUUGGAACGAUACAGAGAAGAUGAGCAUGGCCCCUGCUCAAGGAUUACACACAAAUUUGUGAAGCGUUCCAUAUAAAA
rnacentral:snRNA from 1 species